UUUGACGCUUCUGCAAUCAGCUCACAUAGAAGAGAUUGUUAGCUCGUCCUUUCAAGUUAUCCAUGGGACAAAACCUAAGCAAAAGGUGCAGCUUUUAGAAAGCACUGCAAAAGCAAUGGAACACAAGAAAUUGAGGGUGUGUUGAUUCAGCCAUGGAAUUGAUGAAUGAAGUGGUGAUGAGCAUCCUAUUUCCAGCUGCUUUAUUCUUAAUUUUUUCAAUUGUGAAUAUAUGGUUUGCUCCUAUUUCCAGCACUGCAAAAGAAGUUAGUUUUUUUUUUUUUUUUAGAUUGGAAAGAAGGUAGUGGAAGUAUAAGAAUAUUUUAAUAGAAGAUAGCUAAAGUAGAUAGCCUUGUUGGAGUGUAUAUUAAAAAAAUGACUAGCUAAAAUAGUAAAGUGAAGUUUUAAAUAGCUAUUUUAACUAGCCUUGCUGGAGAUGCUGUAAGUAGCUAUAUGUGAGCUGAAUUAUCACUACCAAGAAAAGGAAAAAGAAAAAAGAACUGAAUUAUCAUGAAACUAUUUAAUCAUUGAUGGAAACUUUCAGUGAAACAAUCGGACAUUUUAGUGAAAUUUUAGUUAUGUUUGUGAAUCAUAGGUCACUAUUGUUACUUUCAGUGUUGCAGUGAUGACAAGAACUUACCCUGAGGACUCUAGGGAACGGAAGGAGCUCAUUCUUCUCCAAAACAUAGCAAGCUACAUGCUUCUUGCUUGUGGUGCCGUUUAUCUUAUCUCGAUUGAAGAAGAUAGUCACUGAAUUCCUUUAGCAAGUGGGUUUUCAAGGAUUUUGCUUGUAGUGUUGUAAAUGGGAAAACACUUGUGGACCGAAGAUGCUGAUGAGCAAAUUGCGAAUAAUCAGCCGGGCUGCGUGCGGGGUGUCCUUCAUGCUCUUGACUAUCAUCACUGGCAUUACAAUGUUAAGAAGCUGCUACCCCACAAGAAGCAUAAUGGACCAAGACAUGUGAAAGGUAAGCAAUAUGAAUUUGCACCGUGCUUUCUUCUUCUUGGUGAUUAUGGAUGACAUACAGGGUUAGAAGUCCAGACUUGGUGCUCUAUUUAUUAUUUUGGUCUUUGUAAAACCUUUGAGUG